rnacentral:lncRNA from 1 species
CGGCGGCGGCAGCGCGGCUGGGAUCCCGAGGCCUUCCCCUCCCUCCCGCUAACACUCUCGUCCCGCCCUUUCCCUGAUGCUCGUGAUUGGCACCGCGCCAUUGGCUCCGCCUUCCACCCCCUUCCGCACUUCUGUCAACCCAUUGGUCAGAAGGAGCCGUCUGUCGCGGGCUGAGUCCCGCCCCCUCCCUCAGAGUAGGAACUUCCCAUUGGUCAGGUCAAGGCCUGGGAUUUUGGUUUGUGAGAAGAAGAAAGAAGAAGAAGAAGAAGAAGGAGAAGGAGAAGGAGAAGGAGAAGGAGAAAAAGAAGAAGGAGAAGAAGAAGAAGAAGAAGAAAAAUUCAGAUCUUUUCUAUAUCAAAAACAUUUUCUACCAAAUGAGCUGCAUGCUUUAGGUUACACAUCUUACUGAGGACAGAAAACAAACAAAUGCCUUUUUUUCUUUUUCCUUGCUGUGAACAGGCCUGCUGUUUUGAACACUGUCACAAAUGCUUGCUGGAUUUUGUUUGGGGCAAUAAUAUGUUUAGUUAAUGAGCUAACCUCACUAAGAAGCCCUGCAGUCUAAAAUUGUCAUAAAAAUUAAUCUAUCUGUGUUAUCUCC